UACAGAGGGGGCAAGCGUUGUUCGGAAUUACUGGGCGUAAAGGGCGCGUAGGCGGCCUUCUAAGUCGAACGUGAAAUCCCCGGGCUCAACCCGGGAACUGCGUCCGAUACUGGAAGGCUUGAAUCCGGGAGAGGGAUGCGGAAUUCCAGGUGUAGCGGUGAAAUGCGUAGAUAUCGGAAGGAACACCAGUGGCGAAAGCGGCUUCCUGGUCCAGCACCGACGUCAGGCACGAAAGCGUGGGGAGCGAACAGG
rnacentral:rRNA from 1 species